UACGGAGGGGACUAGCGUUGUUCGGAAUUACUGGGCGUAAAGCGCACGUAGGCGGAUUUGUAAGUCAGGGGUGAAAUCCCGGGGCUCAACCUCGGAACUGCCUUUGAUACUGCAAAUCUCGAGUCCGGAAGAGGUGAGUGAAAUUCCUAGUGUAGAGGUGAAAUUCGUAGAUAUUAGGAAGAACACCAGUGGCGAAGGCGGCUCACUGGUCCGGUACUGACGCUGAGGUGCGAAAGCGUGGGGAGCAAACAGG
rnacentral:rRNA from 1 species